rnacentral:rRNA from 1 species
UGGGGAAUUUUGGACAAUGGGCGCAAGCCUGAUCCAGCCAUGCCGCGUGCGGGAAGAAGGCCUUCGGGUUGUAAACCGCUUUUGUCAGGGAAGAAAUCUUCUGAGUUAAUACCUCGGGAGGAUGACGGUACCUGAAGAAUAAGCACCGGCUAACUACGUGCCAGCAGCCGCGGUAAUACGUAGGGUGCAAGCGUUAAUCGGAAUUACUGGGCGUAAAGCGUGCGCAGGCGGUUUUGUAAGACAGAGGUGAAAUCCCCGGGCUCAACCUGGGAACUGCCUUUGUGACUGCAAGGCUUGAGUGCGGCAGAGGGGGAUGGAAUUCCGCGUGUAGCAGUGAAAUGCGUAGAUAUGCGGAGGAACACCGAUGGCGAAGGCAAUCCCCUGGGCCUGCACUGACGCUCAUGCACGAAAGCGUGGGGAGCAAACAGGAUUAGAUACCCUGGUGGUCCACGCCCUAAACGAUGUCAACUGGUUGUUGGGAAGGUUCCUUCUCAGUAACGUAGCUAACGCGUGAAAGUUGACCGCCUGGGGAGUACGGCCGCAAGGUUGAAACUUAAAUGAAUUGACGGGGUCAUAGCUGUUUCCU